rnacentral:rRNA from 1 species
CUGAUAAGAGAUUAUAAGUCCUGCGAUGGGGAGUGGCGGACGGGUGAGUAACGCGUGAGAACAUACCCCAGAGUGAGGGAUAAGCACCAGAAAUGGUGUCUAAUACCGCAUAACCUCUACGGAGAAAAGCUUCGGCGCUUUGGGAAUGGCUUGCGUUAGAUUAGCUAGUUGGUAAGGUAAAGGCUUACCAAGGCUACGAUCUAUAGCUGGUUUGAGAAGAUGAUC